rnacentral:lncRNA from 1 species
UAUGUCUUAUUAUAUCCAAAUGUAGUCCUUAUUGGCUACAAUUGACUACAUAUUUUAUUAUCUACAAUUGCAGUAACUACAGAUUGCAUUAACAGAAUUUAAAAAUAACUGACUAAAUAUAACUACAAUUGAAUAAAAUCUGUAUGUAGGUGAACAUUAAAGAUUGCAUUUAAACUACACAAUGCAUUAGUGUACUUCUACCUAUAACUAUAUUACAUUUAACUACAUUUGUAUAUAGGAAAAAUGAAAUACAGAAUUGAAAUACAUAUACAGAAUUGAAAUACAUAUGGGCUCACUGUUUCAAUAUACAAAAAAAUGUAGGAAAAAUGUAGUUUGUAUGUUAAAAAUGUAUUUUGUGUGUAUAAAAUGUAGUUAUAUGAUAUGUUACAUUAUAUAUUGUAAUUCUGAAAUCUAGCUUCAUU